AUUACCCCCAAAAAAAAACAUAUACAGAACUCGGGGAGGCCUAUAUUAUAUACAUUAUAUAGGCCUUUCCCACAUACACAGCAAACUUUCAUACUCGAAGUUUGCAGUAAACAAAAGGCCGAUCGACGUUAUAGCGCACCGCCUAUACACAAAAGCAAAAAUGUCCGUUUAUAUACAAAUAUACGGCGUUUCGGUUUUGUUGGCGGGGGGUGCNUGUUGUGUGGAUAACGGCUCACAUAACGUGUCGCGAUGGAUGACUUGGCUUCCUAUUUCGUUGAAGAACGCAGUA
rnacentral:misc_RNA from 1 species